rnacentral:tRNA from 1 species
CCCCUGGUGGUCCAGUGGUUAGGACUCUGCGCUUCCAUUGCAAGGGCACAAGUUUGAUCCCUGGUCAGGGAA